rnacentral:ncRNA from 1 species
UUUGGAUAGCUGAAGUACGCUAUGAAGCUGUUACAUUCGAAAAAGCAAAUGAUUUGAGGGGAUUAUGGGACGAAACGUUUUCAAUCUAUUCUCAAACUUUCAAUGAGUAUGACGUCUUGUUUGCUUGAAUGAAGCAUAGACAUUGAAUGUGUGCUCCAAGUGGACCAUUUUCGAUAAGCAGAAUUGACGCUGUGGGACGAAUUA